CAGUCGCCGCGGUAAUACGUAGGUGGCAAGCGUUGUCCGGAAUUAUUGGGCGUAAAGGGAGUGUAGGCGGUCUUUUAAGUCUGAUGUGAAAGCCCACGGCUCAACCGUGGAGGGUCAUUGGAAACUGGGAGACUUGAGUGCAGAAGAGGAGAGCGGAAUUCCAUGUGUAGCGGUGAAAUGCGUAGAUAUAUGGAGGAACACCAGUGGCGAAGGCGGCUCUCUGGUCUGUAACUGACGCUGAGGCUCGAAAGCGUGGGGAGCAAACAGGAUUAGAUACCCGGGUAGUCCCUGUCUCUUAUAC
rnacentral:rRNA from 1 species